UGGACAUACAGACAUAAUGAAGUGACAAAUACUUAUAGCUCAGGUCAAAGAAAACCUCUGUAAAAAUAACUGACCAUUGUCAGUCUUCCUAAAUUAAGGUUGUGUCAAUUUUGGAAAAUAUUCUUCUUUUUAUCAGUUUAUUAUUGUUUUACAUUUGGAUGACUAGUAGCCUUCAUUAUAUGUUGUUAUAAAAUAAAUGAGCAGAAAAACAGAAUUCAUUUGUGUUUUUGUGUGCAUGUGUGGGGGGAAAGAAGUCAAUAAUUAGGUUUUUAAGAAUAUAACAAAUUGAUUGUGUUACAGUAGAAGUAAGAUUAGCCUAUAGCAGAAUACUGUGGUGUUUCAUGGUUUGAGGUGGCUGCUGUGUAUUAGCUGGUGGUGUUUAUGCCUGCAGGCAGUCCUCGGUUGCCCAGGAAACACAGAUGGUGGAUGAAGGGCGCGCAUACAAAAGACCAUAAACCUGUGGCAGCAGCUGGAGACCGAGACCACUGAUUAAUUCAGGUCUGCGCAGUCCCGCUCAGUCAAAGACAUCGCUGUUCUGUUUAAUACCUUCCAUCCAUUUCCUUUGUCUCAGGGCUUCCGUCUCCACUUUAUCCUGUUUUCCCCGGACUGGACUCCCGUCAGUGCGCAGCUGUUGUUGGCUCUCAUCUGCUUGUCUCAGCUCUGCAGCCAUGUAGACGACGCUCCGCCGUGGCUCAUGUUAGUGCGUAUCGUGUAGGUCCAGAAGGCGACCAGUCUUUCACUGCAGGCGAAAUCCCUGCACACACACACACGGCGUGUGUUGGCGGGCUAGGAGGCUUGUUCCCAGCAUGAAGAAGAAGAAGAAGACGACGAAGAAGAAGAAGAUGUGAUUCCUAACACUCCUGUCGCUCCAUUUGAUGCUGCGGGACAGGUGCAUGUGCAACCUGGAGAUCACUGGUAACCUUGUGAUUCAUCUACAGGGCUGCUGACGUGUUACCGGUAUGGAGACUUGGAGGAUCCACAUGGGAACCAUCAUCUGGACAGGUUAUGUGUACAGGCUGGAUUAUCUUUAUUAAAAUCAACAAGAAGGUUCAAUUUCACUGUCACACAAUAUCAGUUUGAUAAAUAAUAUCACCAAAUCCUAUCUCAAAUGAUUGAUAUCUUGUAGUAGUGGGUGUAUUUUAGUCUUGUUUGUCUCUAGACUAGAUUAAAAAGCAGUAAGGAGAGAAACAAUAAAACCAAAGAACAAGUGAUCCCUGGGGUAGUUUGGGAGGACAGUUGGGUUGCGUCCCACUUUUUCUGCUGCUUUGUGUUGUGUGUUCCUCUCCAGUUACACUGAUGAGAAAGCAGAUCGGGACUCGCACCGGACCUCAUUGUACUCCUGACGGCAUCGCUCCAUCACCCUCUACUGUGUUGCCUCACAGGCUGUUACAGGAUCUCUCGUGUUUGAUGCCCGGUGCCAUUUCUGCUGUAUCUUCAGAGGAUCCAUGCUCAAGUGUCUGAGAUGACUUCUGCUGCUUUUGUGCGUCAGUGAAAUAGGCAUGGAAGAGUUCAUCACUGCUUUGUGUUCAUUGUUAGUGCGAUUCAUUUUUUUUAGCAGAGAUGUUUACCACAGGUGGUGUUUUGAGUACAGGAUAAUACGUAACAAUGUUCUUCCCUGGCUGUGAGUAAUACUAACGUCGCUCUAUCCGCUCCUGCGCUCUUUUUGGCUGAUCAAAAACACUGACGCUGCAGCUACCAAUCACCUCUCAUGCUUGUUUUUCUAGCUGCUGUCUGCAGUGACCUCUUCACACUGUCGCCUUGGUUACUCUGCCUAACACCUCACUCACUUCUCCUUGUAUAAGACACUUUAAAUUCACUAGAAAUGGUGUUUUAAUGGUGCCGCCCUGUCUGUUAACUCCUCACCAGACCCAGAACUGGAAAUCUCCGACAUUUCAAGCUUGUAAUGUUAGAAAAAAAACCUGCUUACACGCAUAUUGUAGUGUGAGAAUGACUAGUUCUCUCACAUUGUGACAAUCUGUAAUUAACACAGUAUGUUUACUUAGUUUGUGGUGUGAUACCAACUAUUUUUACAUGUACUUUAUACAGUAUGUACAGUGUGUAUUUUACUGUAGUGUGUGGGCGUAUGUGUCUGCGUGAGUGCAUGUGUGUGUGUGUGCGUGUGUGUGUGUGUGCAUGUGCUGUAUUUGUGUGUGUUUUUGUUCCUGUAUGUGUGCAUGUGUAUUCAUGUCUGUCUGAUAAAACAUAUAUAUAUAAAUAUAUAUCAUGGGCUUGAGUUAAAAGCUGCUUUUCAGUGAUUUUUCUCAUAGCUGCAAAUUUUUUCAAAAUGCCUGAAGCUCUCCUUUAAGACACUGAAUGUACCAGACAAGGGGCAAAAUAUUUCCAAAAGAUUCUUAGCAUUUGUUACAACCUCUCUGAAGUACCAGUUAGGUGGGGAUUCUUGUGGUUUAGAUAAUCACAAGAAUGUUGCUGAAAAUUAAUAGUGUGUAGUUUUCUAAAUGAGGCCUGCUGGCAUUAAUUAAAUUGUCUCAAUGCUUACAGCCCCAUCAUCUGAUACUCAAGCAAAUUACAGCAAAUGCUAAUAAUUAUGCGCAAGUGGUAUUUUACCCAGGUCUGGCUCGUACUAACAGAAUCUCACUAAUAUCUAACAAUACUAAUGUCUGCUAACAGUAAGAUGAUUACUAACCUGUACUCUGAAUGCUGAUGGCUGGCCUUGUUCUUUCUAACCCACUGACUAACCCUCUGCUUUAUGCCCGCAGUCUGAUGCACACACUCCUCUCUCAUGAUCCUGCAAUCCUUCUUCCCCAAAUGACCGAUUCAGAUUAAUUAUAACAGAUGAAAAUCAAUGAAAAAUGCUAACAUGUCAAGAAGGGUUUCAGGACUUGGGAAGGAAACUGUUAUUAACCACAAGAUGAAAAGAGGAGCAGAAAACAGCUGCCAAUAUCAGAUUGGGUUGACCACAUACUUAAAAAAAAAAAUCUGUCAUGACUGAUUAUCUGAUUUCAAAUGACUACUGUGUCAGACUUCACAAAGGCUAAAUUCACGUCCUCAGAGACCCAGCUUUGUGUCUCUGUCUGUGUGCUGUGUGGUCAACCUUUGCAGGUGAGUGCCUGGCUUGUUGUCACCACAGAUAAUGCAGUAAGACACAAGCCAAGCAAACCUCAGCUCCACUACUAACUCCUUAUGGUGUUGAUACUAACAGCGGUGAGGCUAUAAAGGUCCACCUGUUGCCCUUACUAACAUCUUUCGUUUUCUCUGACUAAAACUAUUUUAUUCUUGAUAUGUGUAGUCAAAUUAUUCUGUCUCUUUGUUCAGAUCAAAGCAUGCCCUGUUUCUAGUAUGUGCUUUUUUUUUUUUUAUCAAUGGGCAGUCCUACUGAGAACUAAGCCCUUUAACUCUUAACUGAUCAAUGGAAGUCCUUAUAAACAAGCUAGACAGUUUUGUGCUCUCAACAAGCAGCUAACCUCUCCUACAGUUACAGUAAAUUAACAUAUACUAACCAAAGGGCUUUUAAUAGCUCUCAGCAAACUAACAAACUAACCCACUAAUAAACUAAUAAUCUAACAAACUAACUAUAAUCACUAACUUUCUGCUAAGUGACAGAAUCAGUGGCACCCUGAAAUUGAGGAGUUGCAUCACUUAUUGAAUGUACUAACAGGAUUGAAUGUGCCUGUAUGUGUAAGUGUGUAUGAAAGUGAGCGCAAAAGAGAGAGAGAGAGAGGGAGAGGGAGUGUGUGUGUUUGUUUGUGUGUGUGUGUGAGAGAGAGUGUGAGUGUGAGUACAACUGUAAGCAAAUUCCAAAUUGGAUGAGUGACCUUGAUUUGUUCUGUUAAAG